AAUAUAUUACUUUACCAAUUUUGAUAAACUUUCGUUUAUCUUAUGACAAAGAAUAUCAACUGAGGACUAUUGAAGUAUUAGGUGGCCAUCUUGAAUGGUGGCCAUUUUGGAAACGUAAAUUUCCAAAAUAUCAUUAUUCGCUAUACUGAAUCGUUUUUUUUUGAAUUGAUACUAAGUUUUAUAUGCAUUUACAACUAGUUUUGCGAAUCAUUUAUUUAUGACUGUUGCUAUUCAUAUAGGAUAUAUUCACCAAGUGUUCAAAUAAGGCAUACAUAUGUUAACAAAUAAAUGUAUUUAAAAAAUACGCGUAAAUUCUUUUAAUUGCAGUUUAGCAUGAGGGCUUAGUUACUUUUUUACCCCCCAAAAAAUGCGUAUAUACAAUAUAAGUUAUGACCACUGUAUGUUGAAAAGGAAUAAUACUAGGUAUUAAAGUCACUGGAGCUGAAAAAAUAAUAAAUA
rnacentral:lncRNA from 1 species